UACAGAAGUAUCGUUCAUAUUUUCUGCCCAUCACACAAAUGAAAAAUUAUACAGAUAAUUCUCCAAUAACCCAGCACACACAAACUAAGAUUACACAACAUAGACAAAUGGUAUUACAAUCCAGAUAAAUGGUAUUACAAAAAAUAGUAUAUUCAACACUAAAACAAGCAAUCACAUCAUACAACAUUGUGGCUCCAUUGUCUUCCUCUUCUAAAAUUCUGAGAAGCAUCCUGAC
rnacentral:lncRNA from 1 species